ACUCCUACGGGAGGCAGCAGUGGGGAAUAUUGCACAAUGGGCGCAAGCCUGAUGCAGCCAUGCCGCGUGUAUGAAGAAGGCCUUGGGUUGUAAAGUACUUUCAGCAGUGAGGAAGGUUCAUACGUUAAUAGCGUAUGGUAUUGUACGUUAGCUGCAGAAGAAGCACCGGCUAACUCCGUGCCAGCAGCCGCGGUAAUACGGAGGUGCGAGCGUUAAUCGGAAUUACUGGGCGUAAAGCGCAUGCAGGUGGUUGUUAAGUCAGAUGUGAAAGCCCGGGGCUCAACCUCGGAAUUGCAUUUGAAACUGGCAGACUAGAGUACUGUAGAGGGGGUUAGGAAUUUCAGGUGUAGCGGUGAAAUGCGUAGAGAUCUGAAGGAAUACCGGUGGCGAAGGCGGCCCCUGGACAGAUACUGACACUCAGAUGCGAAAGCGUGGGAGCAAACAGGAUUAGAU
rnacentral:rRNA from 1 species